GUGCAGCCUGUAGCAAACACUUCUACAUGUGACACAACUGUAAACAUUGACAGUGAUCCUCCAAUUCACACAGAGGGUGCAUCAGAUGUCUGUUUAAUUUCUGUAACAGAUAGCCCCAAUAUAAUAUUUACUGGAUUGACAUUAAGGGAAAAAAACAGGAUCUGCAACAAAGUGAAUGUCGUACCAAGCUUAGAUCAAAAUAUUGUUGUACAAACCUUCGAUAUGGCACAGCCUGAGCCAUGCCAAACAACAUCCAUUGAAGGUGACGGUAAUUGUUUCUUUCGUUCUCUUUCGUCUGUAUUGAGUGGUUGCGAGUCACAUCACAAGGCCUUUCGAAAGGCUGUAGUGAAUCACAUCUCAAAUAAUCCACUUAAUUACAUUACUUGUCAAAGACGGCAAUUUGAUUCUGUGGAGCAAUAUCUCCGGGACUCAAAAAUGAAAUAUGUUGGAUCUUGGGCAACAGAGUUGGAAAUAAAAGCUUCUGCAGAUUUGCUCUGUGUUGAUAUUUACACAUACAGUCAACAGAAAUGGAUUACGUUCACGGCGAACAUUGAGCCGAUUUCAAGAAAAGCUAUAUAUCUGAAUCACUGCAAUGAAUGCCAUUAUGAACCAAUUGCAUGUGUCAAAGAAAAAAACCUCUCUUACAUGCUUUAGUUUAACUAGCUUCUGUGAAACGUCGCACAAAAUGUCCAAUGCAGAGCUUGUUUCACCACGUAAAAAAUUUACUGAUAAAGUAAAUAAUCUAAGAAAAAAGUAAACAUAUGCUGAGGACAAAGAAUAUAGGCAUGUUAAAAAGCUACAAACACAACAAAGAUAUAAUUGUGAUGAACAGUAUCAAGCAAAUCAGAAAACUAGCAGUGUCGAAAAAUAUGCCAAUAAUGAACUGUUCAAACAACAAGUAAUAAACAGCGGAAUUGAAAAAUAUGCUAAUAAUGAAACGUACAAACAACAAGUAAAAUCCAGCAGUAUUGAAAAAUAUGCCAAUAAUGAACCGUUCAAACAACAAGUAAUAAGCAGCGGUAUCGAAAAAUAUGCAAACAAUCCUGCCUAUCGUAACCAGGUAAUACAAAGUAUUGUUAUCAAAUACAGAGAAGAUCCGGCUUAUAAGCCCUCUGUAAUUGAAAGAAACUGUCAAAGGAGACUUAAUCUAACCCUCUUAAAACACAAUAUUGACUUUGUAAUUGAGCUCUUCCAAGAAGAGGUCAAACAUGGACCAGAACAUGUUUGUUGUGUAUGUCACAGAUUAUUGUUCCGUAAGCAAGUUCGAUUAUGUGACAUAACUUCAUAUGAAUCCAAGGCUUCAACUGUGUCAGCAAUUGCAAAACAAUGCAUUACUACAACAUAUCUCCAUCAAUGUGAUAUUGCAUGUUUAACGCCAUGCACACUAAAACAGACAGUUGCUGGGAAAUUGUGGAUAUGUUUCAGUUGCAACUCCAAGAUACUCAGUGGUAAGGUUCCCCAGGAGAGCGCUGUGAACAAUAUGGCAUUGGAUCCAAUUCCGGACGAAUUAGGCACACUGAACUCAUUAGAACAACACCUGUGUGCAUUGAAUAUUCCCUUUAUGCGACUUGUGGCAUUGCCACGAGGUUCUCAGAAUUCUGUCCAUGGGCCGGUG
ensembl:lncRNA